ACCUGUGACUCUCCAGGGAAAGGACUUUCCAGAGAAACAAAUCAAGAAAAAAAUAACUGGCUUAAUUUCCCUCCACCCAGCAACAGUUCUUCAUAGCUGUACACAGAGACCAUGGAGCAGCAAGAAGGGUUGUGUGGGACAGAGGCUCCUUGGGUGCUCCCACUGGCAGUGUACUUCAACACUGGGCUACAUCCAGAAGAUGCAUCUUGCACCAAGCACUUCCCUAUAGCUGAAGUUUGCAAUGAAAAGAACUCACAGAUGCAUCUCAUGACUUACAUGAAGGAGGCUGAGGUGUCAGGAGCAUACACAGGUUCUUUCCCAGCAUCUGCUGAGACAAAGGUCUCAGGCAGAGAUCUCACUGCAGAGAAUUCAUCAUCCCAAGUAACCUCAGUGGAAACAUCUUAACUUUAAACUUUGGUCUUCAGAGUGCAGGAUUUCCCAGUGGAGCAAUGCAUACUCACUGACAUCUGCUAAGACAAAAUAACCAAGCUCAGAAGAAAGUUGCUUAUGAUCACAAGGAGUUACUGGAGCCAGCUGAACCUGAGGUUGUAGUCAAUUGGGCUGUGCCUGAGAAAUCCUUGAUCAAAGCACACUUCCAGGCUGUGAUCUGUAAUGGUUGUCAGCUGCAGUCUGCCUUAGUCUACAGCCUAACUGCACCUUGGAGACAACCAGCUCCUGCUUGUAUCUGUGCUGUGGGACUGUCUGCUCAGAACGUGCACUCUUUGGUAGGUUCAGGUUUGUUUUUUUUUUUUUUCUACAUUUGAAAUAUAUUGCAAACUCUUCUUUUCUCAAAGGUGCUUUCUUUCAUUAUAAGUAAUAAUCACAACUACAUUUCCUUAAGCUUAGUCUGCGUUAAGGGUAUAAGGAACCCUUUGCCUUCUUGCUGAUGCUUUCCCUCCCUCCCUCCCUGCUGUUUAUGACCUGACAGAAUAGUUUCUCUCACUGAUUUGUGGACAUUCAAAGGAGUUGCCUAGCCUCUAAUUUUAUUAACAAGUUUUUGUAGCUGUUUUCUUUAAAAAAUAAGAGAGUAUUGAUUAAUUAUUUUUUUUCUUUGCAUGCAAAUGGGAGGAGAGGCCUGCUCUGGCAGGAUGCUGAACAUGCUCUGCCACACAGUGCUUUCUGUCACUUACUGGGCUUUCCAGGCUAGCUGCUGGAAAUGUCACAGGAUUAAUUUCAGAAUCCCCUAAGGUGCCUGUUGGCUUUGUCCAAAAUCAUUACUCGUUCUCUGCUUUGUACUCAUUUUAUGAUACUAAAACACAGGGAGGCCUUAGCUGUGUUUGCUGCAUUACUGUUAAUUUCUGUUCUGCUCCACCUAGACUCCUACCCUUUUCCCCACAGUAUGUUAUGUGAGCACCUUGCAGUGGCAGCUAGCUGUGUUCUUCUCUUGGCAUGCUUAUUUCAUGAGCUAAGUGAUGCAAGGAUGCCAGCCACCACCUCCUCCAGGGACACUCCACUGCUGGAAAUUAGUUGCUCCUGCCUCUUGCUUCUAGUCUGUGAUAGUGCAGUGGAAAAAUCAACAGCAGACAAAUAAUUAGACACGAUGUCAUCCUUGCAGAUAGGGAGGACUUGCAGGCAGACAGCAGAUCAUGUAUGUGCCUUAAGAAUGCUUGUGGAGAUGGAGUUAUGAUCCAAGAAUGUGCAAAUAGCUGCCCAUCCCAGUGUUGCGUGCUGUGAUGGGGAAGUAGUGCUAAACCAUCUCUAGACUUGAUUAGCAUACAAACACAAAAUAUUUGUUUUGUUAUGGGGAGGUGGUUGAGGUGAUUUUUGUAGGUGAGCAAAGAAGAAACUACAUGAAUGGAAUCUUUCUUUACCUUCUCUCUGCUGGGGGCUAAAAUAAAACUGGAGGGAGCGAUGUGGUGAGAGCUGGU
ensembl:lncRNA